rnacentral:lncRNA from 1 species
GGAGGGCACUGUCCCACUUUUCCCUUGGGGUCUGCAGUCUGGGGGGUGAGAUGGAUGGUAACCCAGGGUGCUGGACCUGCAUGACCACACUCUCUGAGUGACCAGCGUGCUGCACUCGGGCCCCGAGCUAGGGCCUGAAGGAGACAGGUGACGUCCAGGGACAGGAGCAGGCCCUGCCUCGUGUCCCUGUGCCCCUACCCUGCCACUUCUCUGGUGACUUCUGCUCUGUGUCUCCCCACUUCCUGCCUGGGAGAGGAUCCAGGAGAGCCUGGCCGCUGAUCUCUACCCAGACUGUGGGGAGGUGCAGGGCAUCCAGCCAUGGAGGAUGCUGGUCCUCUCUGUGCUGUUCUGCAAGGUGGACACCGUCCACGGGAAGCCAAAUGAGCACCACCGAGCCUGCAGCGGAGCACAGAACAGAGAGAAGUCCAUGGGCAGAAAGAUGAGAAACAAAAUGCCGG